GACGAACGCUGGCGGCGUGCUUAACACAUGCAAGUCGAACGGAAAGGCCCUGCUUUUGUGGUGUGCUCGGGUGGCGAAAGGGUGGGUCGCACGUGUGUAACCUGCCCUUGACUUUGGGAUAACGUCAGGAAACUGGGGCUACUACCGGUUAGGAGCUCCUGCUCCAUGGUGGGGGGUGGGUGGUUUCGGCGGUUGGGGAUGGACUUGCGGCUUAUCAGCUUGUUGGUGGGGUUGUGGGUUACCAAGGCUUUGACGGGUAGGCGGCCUGAGAGGUGGGCCGGCGACAUGGGGCCUGAGAUUCCGCCCAGACGCAUACGGGAGGAAUCAGCGGGGAAUGUUGCACUAUGGGCGGAAGCCUGAGGGAGCAACGCCGGGUGCGGGAUGACGGCCUUCUGGUGGUAACCAGCAUGCGCCUGUGUUGAAGCGUGAGUGACGGUAAUGGGUAAAGAAGCACCGGCUAACUACGUG
rnacentral:rRNA from 1 species